CCUGCCUCGUUAGGGUUGCCAUUCUUUUGGAAGGAAAACACCAGGGCUUCUCCGGUGAUCCAAUGUAUCUCAGAUCAUUCUGUGGAUGACACGACCAGGACAUCCACUCCACAACUGUCUCAAGUCUCGAGGUUUAGCUAUGUAAAGUCCCCAGAGACCAGGAUGACCUUGAUUUGUGAGCCUUGAUCCCUUAUCCUCUCCAUGCUCCAGGCAAAACUGUUCAAGUUUCAGAGAAGAGACCAGAUGACUCUGGAAGAAAGAAUGAGACUGAUGACUUAUGCACCUGUUUCACUUACAACCAAUUCAUGCCCAAGACAACACAUCCCCUCAUGAUGAAAACAAAGGAUGAAUAAUAACAUUAAUUGCCUGCUAUGUGCUUAUAUGGGUCACUAAAUUUUCUUGGUGACAGUGAGAUGACUGUACUAUAGUACAAUGGGUCUGAGUGGACAUCCUAGUUCCAGUUGAUAGUUAUGUGGUCCCAAGAAAAUUCCUUAAUCUGAAAUUUCAUUUCUUCAUCUGCAAAGUGAGAAUAAAA